UUCAACGAAAUCGAAGGUGAAAACCUUCAGUGACUGCACUAACACCUUCGUGACGAAUCUGUCAUAAUUUUAUCGCUGAAAUAGUCUACAUAAUUGUUUAAUUUUACAUUUAACCAAAUGAUUACUUAAACUUAAAAAACAUCGUUUUUUGCAGGUCUGCGACAUGUAUCUACUCCAAAAAGACAAUUGCAUAUGCACAAGUUCUCUACAACUUUGUAACUACAUGUAAACAAGACACAACUUCCCACAUAUUAAUAAUUUUAGUUAGCAAGUUAUUAAUAUUCAGUAAGUUCUAAUAACAUUAAAGUUUACAAGCAAAUUCGGUCCCCAAAGCAUAACUUUCGAAAAUUUCAUAUCGUCGUCAGAGCAAUUCCGUACUUUAAAUCAAGGACUUCGCGAUUUCGUCAAGAAGUUUACAAAUAUGAGAGAGGCAGUCUUCAGUUCCAGGUUAGAGUAUGCAGAAAUUCAGGUUAAAGUAGAUAACAAGCAGAUUCUUUGAUCUCAACAUCUCGAAAUAUUGAAAUAAACAAGUGGUAUUGAACAUCAACAGUGUCGUAUAGCAGGCCGGACAAAGUUUUGCCGUUGGAUGUCGGAUGGCGAACAAGAAGAAGAGCAGGAAUCAGCAAACGGCAACAGACAGGUGAACUUGCGGACUACUUGUGUAUGAUAUAAGGCAACCGGUUUUAGUUCGAGAGGACAAUAAAUAAAGAAAAUACAGCUCUGGCACUCCUGAGCAAUUUACAAUAUUGUAUCUUGGCACCAGCGAAGGGGUGUCCACGGGACUAGGUGGACUACUUCCGAAUAACACAGAAUAACGUUACUACUCAGUAACAGUUCUCUCUCCCUCUAUACCCGCUUCUGUUACCUGUUACGUCGUAUUUAUAAUAUGAGGGCACAACCAUAUCUGAAACCGCACAGGUAUUAAAUAGUCCUUUAAUGCAACCACCACACUACAGAGGAUAAGGAUAAGCCAUCAUGGGAACUUUUGGAUUAUGUGAAUCACAAAGCUAUGAAGCGUACUUGUGUUAUUUAUAAUUUGAGACAUGCAUCAAGUGGUUCAGUGAAUUUUGCUUUGAAAUAUUUUUUUUAUGAAAGCUGUUGAGUUUUAACAUGUACUGCAUGACUGGAUGAUUUCGUAAAAGUCUUUAAACCAAAAGUUUUUGAAUCAUAUAAAAAUGUUCUAAAGAAAAAUUUGUUCCGUA
rnacentral:lncRNA from 1 species